GUGACCUCAAAUCAGGUAGGACUACCCGCUGAACUUAAGCAUAUCAAUAAGCGGAGGAAAAGAAACUAACAAGGAUUCCCCUAGUAACUGCGAGUGAAGCGGAAAGCUCAAAUUUAAAUCUGUCAG
rnacentral:rRNA from 1 species